UACGUAGGGGGCAAGCGUUGUCCGGAUUUAUUGGGCGUAAAGAGCGUGUAGGCGGCUAGGUAGGUCCGUUGUGAAAACUCGAGGCUCAACCUCGAGACGUCGAUGGAAACCAUCUAGCUAGAGUCCGGAAGAGGAGAGUGGAAUUCCCGGUGUAGCGGUGAAAUGCGCAGAUAUCAGGAAGAACACCCGUGGCGAAGGCGGCUCUCUGGGACGGGACUGACGCUGAGACGUGAAAGCGUGGGGAGCGAACAGG
rnacentral:rRNA from 1 species